rfam:Picea glauca, whole genome shotgun sequence.
AGGUAUAAUCAUGAUAGUGUUAAUACAUUAGAUCCCAUCACAACUUUGUGGCUAAAUGUGCUUAGUCUAGACUAGUAUUUGAAUGGGUGACCUCUAGGGAGUUCUCAAUGUUGAAUCCU